UACGGAGGGGGCUAGCGUUGUUCGGAAUUACUGGGCGUAAAGCGCGCGUAGGCGGACCUGCAAGUCGGGGGUGAAAGCCCGAGGCUCAACCUCGAGAUGUCGGCGGAAACCACUUGGCUAGAGUCCGGAAGAGGAGAGUGGAAUUCCUGGUGUAGCGGUGAAAUGCGCAGAUAUCAGGAGGAACACCGGUGGCGAAGGCGGAUCUCUGGGCCUUACCUGACGCUCAGGUGCGAAAGCUAGGGGAGCGAACAGG
rnacentral:rRNA from 1 species